rnacentral:rRNA from 1 species
AGAGUUUGAUCCUGGCUCAGAGCGAACGCUGGCGGCAUGCUUAACACAUGCAAGUCUCACGGGCAGCAAUGUCAGUGGCGGACGGGUGAGUAACGCGUAGGUAUCUAUCUCUGGGUGGGGGACAACUGUGGGAAACUACAGCUAAUACCGCAUGAUAACUGAGGUUUAAAGGCGCAAGUCGCCUGGAGAGGAGCCUGCGUACGAUUAGCUAGUUGGUGGGGUAAAGGCCUACCAAGGCGACGAUCGUUAGCUGGUCUGAGAGGAUGAUCAGCCACAUUGGGACUGAGACACGGCCCAAACUCCUACGGGAGGCAGCAGUGGGGAAUAUUGGACAAUGGGCGCAAGCCUGAUCCAGCAAUGCCGCGUGUGUGAAGAAGGUCUUCGGAUUGUAAAGCACUUC